UCAUGACCGGUUUAACAGAAAGUCAUCGACCUGAGCUCAUGGCAGCUUUCUUGGAUGAGAUCGUUGAGGAUCCUAGAAUUGAAAUCGGAACGCAUGAUUGGAACUCCAUCAUCCAUGCCUUCUGCAAGGCUGGACGGCUAGAAGAUGCAAGGAGGACUUUCAGGAGAAUGACCUUCCUUCAGUUUGAACCAAAUGAGCAGACAUAUCUUUCUCUAAUAAAUGG
rnacentral:misc_RNA from 1 species